GGCAAAGGAGAAAUGCUCAAUAACAGGGAUGUAAACAAAUUUGUGCACCAAAUAUGAGAGAAAUAAGCUUUUUGUGGGUAUGGAACAUUUCUGGGAUCUUUUAUUUCAGCUCAUGAAGCAUGCGACCAACACUUUACAUGUUGCGUUUAUAUUUUUGUUCAGUGUAUGUAUAUAUAUAUAUAUAUAUAUUAGUCCCAUAGUGCAAAAACCUUCAUAGAUGUUGGUCAGUGUAUACAACAACAAACAAUCUCAAAAAUGUGAUAUGGGUGGAUAUGAAGAAAAAGAUCUGAGGUACCAACAAGAAACUCAAUGUCCCAGGAACGCAAGCUAUUUAGGAUUAUAUCGUAAUGUAUUAUGAGUCAAUUGUGACCGACUCUCUACAAAUAAUAAUGAGUAGUUAUUUAUGAUGCAAGGUUCUUUGUCGAUCAGUCAGUCAGCAGUCACCUGCAAGGUCAUAACUAGUUACCACAGCCACAAAGUCAUAAACCCCAGCUAUUUCUACAAUUUAUCUUCUUAUAAUGUGAUUUUAACCCAACCUCAAAUUAUGACCAAGCAAAUUUUUGUUUACAGACAUUUUUUACAAUAUAGCCAAUUUUGACUUUGUGGCUGUGCUAUCUAAUGGAAAGCUGCCAGCAAUGUCGUACAAGCCCAAUGGCUCUGAGUUUUAUUUUGAGGUAUGAGAAAUGAGCAGGAGGGCAUGGGACUAAGGAGUGUGUAGUUUCAGUGGAAAAAGUGUAGUGUUUCAAUUGUGGGGGUGGCCAUGUUGCUGGGGAUCAGAAAUGUCCUGUGUGAUUGACACCGGUUCAAGUUUCCAGGGUGAUAGUAGUGCAGAAUGUGUCAUAUGCUGAGGCAGUGAGGAAAGUAGAGGAUGGAGGGCAAAUUGUGAGGGAACCUGAGAGGAUCCAUGCGAGUAGUAGGUCAGUACAGAGUGACCCGAACCGUUUGUGCUUUACUAAGGUUGACUUCUUGGCGUUUAUUGCUAUGGUCAUUAAUUGUACCGGACAGAUGAAAAGAUAAUCCCAGAAAAUGUAAUUGGUAGUAGCAGCAGCAGAGAGGUUUUUGGGUGUCAGAGAUUUUAGUGCAGAAGAACUGUAGAGGGUUUUGAGAAAAGGGGUUCCAGCCUCCCAGGCCAACAGCCUGAAGUAGGAUAUGUUAGGGCCAAAGUAGUGGGAGUAGUAGUAUAGGGUUAAAUGGUGGCGCAAUUUCCUUUUUCCCCCAUUUCCCUUUUUUUGAGAACAAAUGUGCAAUGCAUUUUCUGAAUUGUGAAAGGCAGCAAUACGCAACAAAGAGGCAUCUGCUGGAACACCACACGAAUAAGGAGGCGGCGGCUCCGGGUUUCCCGGAUGUACAACAAAUAGAGAGCAAUAGUAAUGGUGCCUGGGGUAGGUACUAACUCUGCCAUGAUUCGUUGACAAGGCCUAUGGGAAAAUUAAAGGAGUUUUAUUAGGGUUUUAUUUUUACUUUAGUUAUUUUUGGAAAUAUUUUCUUAACUGUAUUUUCUUAAAACUGCAUUGUUGGUUAAGGGCUUAAAGACUUAAGUGUUCCAAAGGGAAAGUGAGGGACACGCUCAAUAACCUGGUCCUCUUCGGCAAAGCCACCUACGACAAACUGAUCAAGGAAGUGCCCAACUACAAACUCAUCACCCCAACUAUUGUAUCCAAAAGGCUAAAGGUCAGAGGCUGUCAUCGCCAGAGCAGCCCUCCAGGAACUGCUGUCUAAAGGUAUGAUCAAGCUGGUGGGAUCUGUAGAUUGCCGCCGUGUGCCAGAGGAGAGGUCUGCUGCUCUGCAGGAUGUUUCCCGUGUGUGGGAGAUCUUCACCUCCUACUUCUUCGAAGAGAGUGCUGUUCCCUGGUAACAUCAUAGACUACACUAUACACAACCAAAGGCUCUUGUAAGAGCCAUCCACAUUGCAAUAAGAGUAUUUUUCCAUUUACUUAGCUAUGUCAACCACAGUUAUUGAAUUCCCAGUUUCUCUCCCUUUGAUUUCUACUUCUCAGGUGAGGAUGCUGUUUAGGUAAGGGUGAUGUCUGUACAAAAACAAAACAGGCUCUUUUAAGAAUUUUUUGGGAACAAUUAGACACCCUAUAACCCACACCUACACACUUGUGUAUCAAUCUGAUUGAUGGAUUGUGUUGUUCAGGUAUAUUACUGUUGCUCCUUCCACCUUCAAAGAAUAGGCAAGACGACCAACCAUAGAGAAUAGUACUUCAUUAUUUCUAUAACUACGCUAUAUUGUUUGUACUUGUGUGUCUGUGCAUGUUUAUCAGUAUAAAGUACUCUGCAGCCACUUAAUGUGGACACCAGGUGAGGCCACACAAACAGAUUCCCUUAUUUUCUCAAUAACAGUCUCUCUCCUUCACUUCAUCCCGCUCCCCCU